CACCCAAAAUCGUAUCGCAACAGU
rnacentral:siRNA from 1 species